UGAAACUACAUUGUGCUCAUCAGCUGGUC
rnacentral:piRNA from 1 species